rnacentral:misc_RNA from 1 species
ACAAACUUGGUCAUUUAGAGGAAGUAAAAGUCGUAACAAGGUUUCCGUAGGUGAACCUGCGGAAGGAUCAUUAACGAGUUAGGGUCUUUCCAGGCCCGACCUCCCAACCCUGUGUUUACAUUACCACUGUUGCUUCGGCGGGCCGGACAUCUCUCUUUCAGGGGAGCCGACCGCCGGGUCGAGAGGGCUGCUCUCGCCCGGACAGCGCCCGUCAGGAGGCCUUUUACGAAUUCUCUGAUGCAAACCAUGUGUCUGAACAAACCUGAUUCGGAACGAAUCAAUAAUUAAAACAAAACUUUCAACAACGGAUCUCUUGGUUCUGGCAUCGAUGAAGAACGCAGC